UACGUAGGGGGCAAGCGUUGUCCGGAAUCAUUGGGCGUAAAGAGCGUGUAGGCGGUUCGGUAAGUCUGUCGUGAAAUCCUGAGGCUCAACCUCGGGCGUGCGAUGGAUACUGCCGGGCUAGAGGAUGGUAGAGGCGAGUGGAAUUCCCGGUGUAGCGGUGAAAUGCGUAGAUAUCAGGAGGAACACCGGUGGCGAAGGCGGCUACCUGGACAGAAACUGACGCUGAGGCGCGAAAGCUAGGGGAGCAAACAGG
rnacentral:rRNA from 1 species